rnacentral:rRNA from 1 species
AAUAAUUGACAAUGGGGGCAACCCUGAUCCAGCCAUGCCGCGAGUGUGAAGAAGGACUGCGGAUUGUAAAGCACUUUAAGUUGGGAGGAAGGGCUUUAGGUUAAUACCCUGAAGUUUUGUCGGUACCAACAGAAUAAGCACAGGCUCACUCUGUCCCCGCAGCCGCGGUAAUACAGAGGGUGCAAGCGUUAUUCGGAAUUACUGGGCGUAAAGCGCGCGUAGGUGGUUCAGUAAGAUUGAUGUGAAAUCCCCGGGCUUAACCUGGGAACUGCUUUCAUAACUGCUGAGCUAGAGUACGGUAGAGGGUAGUGGAAUUUCCUGUGUAGCGGUGAAAUGCGUAGAUAUAGGAAGGAACACCAGUGGCGAAGGCGACUACCUGGACUGAUACUGACACUGAGGUGCGAAAGCGUGGGGAGCAAACA